CCCCUCUCAGGGUCACACCUGGAGAGUUUCCAGUCCUCUACCGGUCUUGACUACGAGAGGGAGAGUGAAGCAGAGGCCUACACAUUCCAUUCCAAGCUUGGGCAAUGGCUAGGGAGUGGAAGGCCAUCUGCUACAAGU